rnacentral:rRNA from 1 species
UACACGCUGUGACUAGCAUAUCAAUAAGCGGAGGAAAAGAAACUAACAAGGAUUCCCUCAGUAACGGCGAGUGAAGCGGGAAGAGCUCAAAUUUGAAAUCUUGAAAGGUCACCUUUCACGAAUUGUAGUUUAAAGAAGUGUUUUCUGUUACGAUCGUAAUAUAAGUUCUUUGGAAUAGGACAUCACAGAGGGUGAGAAUCCCGUCUAUGAUUGCGAUUUGUAGCUUUGUGAUACACUUUCAAAGAGUCGGGUUGUUUGGGAAUGCAGCCCAAAACGGGAGGUAAAUUUCUUCUAAGGCUAAAUAUUGGCGAGAGACCGAUAGCGAACAAGUACCGUGAGGGAAAGAUGAAAAGAACUUUGAAAAGAGAGUUAAAUAGUACGUGAAAUUGUCAAAAGGGAAGCGUUUAACACCAGUGUUGUUUUCUGAAAAUCAACCUCUGUUAGCUCUAUGCAUGUUUGUUUAGACCUAAUCAGCUAUCUUUCAUGUUCUAUUGUUUGCAGUGGUGCACUUUUCAGUUUACAGGUCAACAUCAGUUUUUUUUACCGUAAAAAAGUUAAAGAAAGGUAGCUCAUGGCUCCGGUCGUGAGUGUUAUAGUCUUUCUCCUAUGCGGUAGGAGAGACUGAGGUCUGCAGUGUAGGCUAUUUGGCUAGAUACUCAGGUGCUAUGUGAUACCAUUUCAUAAACAACUUGUUGAUUAUGUUUUGUCUAUUGCAUACUCGCUUGUACUAUCAUACCUACGCUUAGGAUGUUGAGUAGCGACAUACGCAC